rfam:Pteropus alecto contig5650, whole genome shotgun sequence.
CGUUCCAUAGUGUAGUGGUUAGCACGGCUGCUUUACAUGCAGAAGGUCCUGGGUUCAUGCCCCAGUGGAGUCA